rnacentral:rRNA from 1 species
AGUGAACGCUGGCGGUAGGCCUAACACAUGCAAGUCGAACGGCAGCACAGUAAGAGCUUGCUCUUACGGGUGGCGAGUGGCGGACGGGUGAGGAAUACAUCGGAAUCUACUUUUUCGUGGGGGAUAACGUAGGGAAACUUACGCUAAUACCGCAUACGACCUACGGGUGAAAGCAGGGGAUCUUCGGACCUUGCGCGAUUGAAUGAGCCGAUGUCGGAUUAGCUAGUUGGCGGGGUAAAGGCCCACCAAGGCGACGAUCCGUAGCUGGUCUGAGAGGAUGACCCGCCCCCCGGGAACUGAGACCCGGCCCGGACUCCCAGGGGGGGCCGAGGUGGGGAAUUUUGGAAAAUGGGGGGAAGCCUGAUCCAGCCAUACCGGGGGGGUGAAGAAGGCCUUCGGGUUGUAAAACCUUUUUGUUGGGAAAAAAAAGCAGCAGGUUAAACCCCCGCUGUUUGGGCGGUACCAAAAAAAAAAGCACCGGCUACCUUCGG